GAUCAGCCCGCGCCCCGUAAAAAGGGACGGCCCGCCCGAGGACCCCUAAACUCUGUUUUUAGUGGAACUUCUGAGUAAAACAAACAAAUAAAUCAAAACUUUCAACAACGGAUCUCUUGGUUCUGGCAUC
rnacentral:rRNA from 1 species